rnacentral:rRNA from 1 species
UACGUAGGGGGCUAGCGUUGUUCGGAAUCACUGGGCGUAAAGCGCACGUAGGCGGAUGUGCCAGUCAGGGGUGAAAUCCCGGAGCUCAACUCCGGAACUGCCUCUGAUACAGCACGUCUUGAGUUCGAGAGAGGUGGGUGGAAUUCCUAGUGUAGAGGUGAAAUUCGUAGAUAUUAGGAAGAACACCGGUGGCGAAGGCGGCCCACUGGCUCGAUACUGACGCUGAGGUGCGAAAGCGUGGGGAGCAAACAGG